rnacentral:lncRNA from 1 species
AAAAUAGGUAAAAUAGGCAGGUAAAAUAAGAUUUUUCUUUUUCCUGCUCCUUUCUGAAGAUGGAUAAAGAUGCAAUUGUUUUCUAUUUCCUUUGGUACAAUUUGAAUGUUUCCAUGGGUAAAUGAAAUUAAAUGAAAAUCUGUGUUAGUCUGUCAUCCUCAACCAAUGGCUGGUAAGCUCUGCUUUGCACCUGCCUUACCAGAAACGUCAGCAAUAUUAGCAAUAUAAGGCCCAUCCUAAAAUAUUUUUGUGACAUUUAGCGUGUUUGGAGUCAACCCAGUCUCACGGGAAAUCUUGAUACUGUCACGUUAAUUAAUCUAUUGUUUCGUGCGUGCCAGCACGAUUUCCUCAUUUUUUUCGUGCUACUCAGGACGAGUUUCAAACUAAUGCAUUUCAAUUGGAAGUUAAUUUCGUGCUAUCAUCAAGGAUGAAGCCACCAUCAUGCUUGAGAAACUCCAUGCUAUUGGCUACAAACCAGUGCUUCUUCUAGGAAAGACGACAAAGAAGGAGCAAACAAAGUGUGAGAUCCUCACCCCUCGUUGCAGACUGACUGAUUUUGCCAAAGACUACCUCCAAAAAAUUGGCUCAUUUUAUGAGUACCUUUGUGAAGGUUGGAACCAGGAUCCACAUGUGAAUGAGGAGCUAAUCACACUGCACCUCACACCUUGUGACCCACUGGAAGGGCCAAGCAACGCGAACAUGGAGGGACAAGCAGAGCAGACCGACAUGGAGGGACAGGCAGAGCAGACCGACAUGGAGGGACAAGCAGAGCAGACCGACAUGGAGGGACAGGCAGAGCAGACCGACAUGGAGGGACAGGCAGAGCAGACCGACAUGGAGGGACAGGCAAAGCAGACCGACAUGGAGGGACAGGCAGAGCAGACCGACAUGAGUAAAAAGUCAGUGGCAACAAGGCAUAUGCCAGAGAGGAAGAAGCUACAAAAAAGUAAGUUUAAAUUAAUUUCCUGUUUGUUAUCCUUACAGCACAAACCAAUCAUUUAA